AUUCGCUGAACUCGUCUAACCUGAAAGAAUUUAUUUCACAUCCAAAAGAGAAAAGUGCAAAUCGAGAGUUACUUAAUAGGUGGAUGGUUUAUCAACAGUCAAAACUCAUAAAGGCAAAUAGUUAUCCUUUGUAAAAAUUGAAGGAGAAAGGCGAAUGAUGGUACGUUUACAUGUUCAAACCUAAUGUAGCACGAAAUCGUACAAGGGGCCAAGCUUCCUAUUUAUUAAGUUUAAUGGCGUAAUUGUAUAAAUGCAAUUUCAAAAGGAAGCCACACAGAAAAUUGUACAUGAAAAAUAUAAAAUCGUUGAAAGAGAGUAAAACGCCAACGUUAAGUGGCAGUGAAUAAUUAUUGUUAAUUAAUUAAUUAAUUCAUUAAUAAAAAAAACAUUUGUAUUUAUAUUUAUAUAUACAUAAUAAUCCUUGCAGCAUUAUCAAGACU